UAACGCGUAGGUAACCUGCCUUGUAGCGGGGGAUAACUAUUGGAAACGAUAGCUAAUACCGCAUAACAAUGGGUGACUCAUGUCAUUUAUUUUGAAAGGGGCAAAUGCUCCACUACAAGAUGGACCUGCGUUGUAUUAGCUAGUAGGUGAGGUAACGGCUCACCUAGGCGACGAUACAUAGCCGACCUGAGAGGGUGAUCGGCCACACUGGGACUGAGACACGGCCCAG
rnacentral:rRNA from 1 species